GCUUGGAGCUGUGUCUUUUGUCGCUGUGCUUCGAGCUGCGUCUUUUGUCGCUGUGCUUCGGAGAAAUGGCGAAACGACAGCAAGGCAGGCGUGGGGACUGGUAAGGAUAUGGUUCCUUCCCAAGUUUUAAACAUCUGUUGCUCCGUAGUCGUCUUCUGCACUGUACAGAUACGGCCUGCUUCACCAUUCUUCACCACGCUUCUCCUUCUUUGUAGGCAACCUAAGGCUUGGAAGACAGUUUCCCUGCUGUUCACUGUGGCUGUGGUGUCCUUCGGUCUUUACUGCGUUGGAAGUCUUGUUGCUGGAGGCUCAAGGGCAGUGGAAAAAAAGACUUCAUGGCUGGUGGGUGAUGAUCUGGAAAUGCUGAGGGUGGAACAAGAGCUCAACAAGAUCCAGCAGCAGCUUCGUUUCCUGCAAUGGGGAG